rnacentral:rRNA from 1 species
GACGUAGGGCGCGAGCGUUGUCCGGAUUUAUUGGGCGUAAAGAGCUCGUAGGCGGCUUGUCGCGUCGUUCGUGAAAACCUGCAGCUCAACUGCAGGCUUGCGGUCGAUACGGGCAGGCUAGAGUUCGGUAGGGGAGACUGGAACUCCUGGUGUAGCGGUGAAAUGCGCAGAUAUCAGGAAGAACACCCGUGGCGAAGGCGGCUCUCUGGGACGGUACUGACGCUGAGACGCGAAAGCGUGGGGAGCGAACAGG